rnacentral:rRNA from 1 species
GACGAACGCUGGCGGCGUGCCUAAUACAUGCAAGUCGAGCGGACAGAAGGGAGCUUGCUCCCGGAAGUUAGCGGCGGACGGGUGAGUAACACGCGGGCAACCUACCCUGUAGAUCGGGAUAACAUCGAGAAAUCGGUGCUAAUACCGGAUAAUCAUUUGAAGUGCAUGCUUCGAAUGUAAAAGAUGGCUCCGGCUAUCACUACGGGAUGGGCCCGCGGCGCAUUAGCUAGUUGGUAAGGUAAUGGCUUACCAAGGCAACGAUGCGUAGCCGACCUGAGAGGGUGAACGGCCACACUGGGAAUGCGGCACGGCCCAGACUCCUACGGGAGGCAGCAGUAGGGAAUCUUCCGCAAUGGACGAAAGUCUGACGGAGCAACGCCGCGUGAGUGAUGAAGGUUUUCGGAUCGUAAAGCUCUGUUGUUAGGGAAGAACAAGUGCCGUUUGAAUAAGGCGGCACCUUGACGGUACCUAACCAGAAAGCCACGGCUAACUACGUGCCAGCCGCCGCCGUAAAAC